rnacentral:piRNA from 1 species
UGAAAACAACCAAGUAGAGCCGUGU